UGCUGCUUUUCCCUAUGUUUUGCAUUUUUUUUUCCAGUGUUUUAUAUAUAUAAUGGUAAUUGUUAUUGUUAUUGCUUUUGUUUUUAUUUGGUUUUAGGUGACUUGCAAGACAGUACGAGAUAUACUAUUAAUAUGAUCGUCCUGUAAUUUGGUUAUUUCAAACUUGCAAAUCAAAUCUUUUAGUAUGCUAAGUUGCUAACUAAUAGUUUGUUUUGUUUGUUUCAUAUCAUUUUGGCAAAGGGCAAAGCCCCUCAAGUUUAGCCCAUUAUUUUCAUGUUUGUCCUAUUUUUGUGGCUCUAAUUUAUUGAUAAAUUUCAAAAUUUCCUUGGUUCUGGUUACCUUUGGAUAAGAAGACUGGGGGUUCCUUUUGGUUGGGAAAGCAAGUGGCUAAAAUAAGGUCAUUGCUUUCAUUAUUCUUGGAAUUUUUCUUUUGUAUACUCCCAAAGUCUCAACUAUUUGAAGUCUAGCUGAUCCACUGAUUUACUAUGUGUGUACUAAGCUUGCUGGGCUCCAUUAGAGUUGUGAAUUUGAUCAAUCCAUCCAAUCGAUGUCAAUGUGGAUCAUUGCACAAGGUUUUGGCUUCUCAAAGUUUGACCUUUUAUGAAAUUCCCAUGUGUAAAAAAUGGUAACUUCCUGCAUUAAGAAUAAUACUCAUUCUGUCUUGACAAAAUUCAGAUUACAAAGAUUUCUACAUUUUGUCUUUUGUUUUGUCAUCUGAGUGUGGAUACCAUCGCCAUGUGAGAUGUGCAAAUGAAGUUACAGAUUGCUAUUUUAUAUUUUUGAAGAAAUGGCUUUGUAGAUUACAUGUGAUAGCAUGAUGAACCAUUCUAAUAUCUUUAGUCCUUUGCUCACUUUUUUCUCUUUUCUCUUCAGUACUCUACAUUCAAUAUGGCUGUAUGCAUAUAUGCACGGUAUGGCUUUUAUACUUUAUCCAUUUAGUAGUGUACUUCUCUGCAUGAAUGAUAAUAGUAAUUCUAAUGCAUUGCCUUUGCUCCUCAAAUAAACUUAAUGACGUCGCUAAAGAUGCAAUAUUGUUGAACUGAAUUGUUUACCUUAGAGGAAGAAUACAAGUUUUAUUGUGAGUUUAGCAAGUGGGUCCUCAUUGAUCGAAAAAGAUAACUACGAAUCUUUGACCUCUUGGAUGUUGAUACUUUGGUAUUAUUGAUUGAGGUCUAUUUGAGCUUAGUUAUUGGCUGCUCGAGUUGUUAACCUACCAUAGCAAUUUUUUUUUUUUUUUGGGAUGUCAAACCUUAUCUCUUCAAGUCUUUGUUUCUCUAUCUCUCUUUCUCUCACACACACAAACACAUCAUGCACGUGCACAGACGUGUACAUGAGCGUGCAAGCUCACAUGUGCAAGAAUUGUGCAGAAAAUUUUGAUGAUAAGACUUGUUUUGUUACUGAAUCUAGUGAACUGACAUACACAAGAAAGAAUAAUUAAAAACAGAUAAUAAAGAUGGGUUAAAUUUAGAAAGAGAAGUAAAAAAUAAUACAGAGUUAAAGAAAAAGGAGAAUGACCUUAUAUUUAUAUAUAGUGGAGUGGGAUUAGUUGGUCCUCUAUCUUGUGUCUAACAUGUACAAGUACAGGUGUAAUCGCGGUGAACAUUUAAUUAAUUACCAUACAUAUGCUAAUCAGGGUGAGUUCUUAGAAGUUGAGAAUUUGAAUGGAUAUAGGGAUUAUUGUGUCCUUUUAAUUUGAUCUUUUUGGCAGAGUAACUUGAAUAGGCUGCUCAAUUUAUCCCAGAUCAAAUAAGAUUUUUGAAUUUAGACAUUUAUUUUUGUUCUUAUUUUAUUUUCAAGGUGGAUAGAACAUAUUCUUAAACAUCUUACAUCACUCAUUCGUUAGUAUCACCAUGACUUGGAAUAAAAUCUUUCUAUUUGCUAGCUUUGCAUAGAAAAUGAAAUGCUAUGUAUAAAGUUUGCUUGUAGGAACUUAGGCAGUGUGCCAGUAUCUUUAAUCUACUACAGGCUAAAUGGAGAACAACUAUUGUGGUGAUAUCUACCUUAAAAGGAAAAAAUAGCUUUCUCUAUAUCCAGUCUAGUGGUGAAAUUUUAGGGCGGGUGAAAACUUGUAAGAUCAACUUACUUUGGUUGAUAUCUCUCUCUCUCUCUCUCUCUCUCUCUCUCUCAAACAAGGACAAUUGAAUCUGAAAGGGGAGAGGUGGGAUCAACUUUUAUUGGUAGAUAUAGUCGUCUCUCUCUAUAGUUUCAUUUUCAUGAAUAAAAAUAAUGUGAUUUUUCUACGUGAGGAAUGGAAAAGAAAAAA